AUUGAUUGUAUUUAACUGACAAGUUUUGUAAUAAUCUGUUCUUAUCAGUUUAAUAUCUGAUAUGUCUCUAUAUGGGGACUGCAUAUUAAGCAGAUUUUUGGCAUGAGGGCAGAAAUUUGGAGCUUGCUCGCUCUCUCACGCAUCGACCUAGCAUUGCAGUGCCGCUGGGAGCAGUGCACUCUGU